rnacentral:SRP_RNA from 1 species
CUCACGUGACGCCAUCCAGGCCAACUCCCCCAGGGCGGAAACGCAGCAAGGGUAACCGGGCUCUGGCGGGUGCGUGAGGA